CUUCAUCAUCGACAUGCCCGGCGUUGGAUUCAGCGAUAUCAAGAUCGAUGUCGAGCAGGAGGGCGACCGCGUGCUGGUGAUCAGCGGCGAGAGGUUGCGGGAGGACGACGAGUUGGAGGAGAAGUACGAGAGGAUGGAGCGCUGGAUGGGGAAGCUGAUGCAAAAGUUCAAGCUGCCGGAGAAUGCGAAUACGGAUGCGGUCUCGGCGUUGUGCAAGGAUGGGGUGGUUACAGUCACUGUCCCGAAGUUGCCGGCGCCAGAGCCGAAGAAGCUGAAGAGCAUCGAGGUCAAGAUCGCUUGAGAG
rnacentral:misc_RNA from 1 species